GGGAGCUGCUACUGGAGUCACCAGGUUCACGGAACAGCUCCAACAGCACCCUGUGCUCAGCCACAUGGCACCUCUCCUGGGUUCUGCCCAUUCUGCGCGGCCUCUGCUCUGCUCAAAUGGCUACUUACCUUGAAGAGCUUCCCCUCUAGGCUCUACCUGAAAAUAUACACAAAAACACGUCCUUUCAUUGCAGCCAGCUGAAUGCCACAAUUCACAUUCGAGCUGGUGUGGUCAAACGCAGCACACUGGAGUACAUCUGAAUGAAGGAGCUCAUGUUAACUGCUGCUUUUCACGUCAAUAACACAGCUACCCAAACAAAAAUCCGUCAAACAGACACCGAAAGAGAAAAGUAGAGCUGAAUCCACACACACAAGAUUGCAUGCUACAAAAUCUGCGGUUUCUGAAGAGAAUGUGAAAGAUUUAAAUGGAAACCAACCAACUUCUCCUCCCUGGAUGAUGACAAAGUAGAGAAUCUGCUGUCACCGCUGUAGCUGGAAUUCUGAGCACCAAAGAAGAAAACACGUUUAAGUGACAAGCACUUCCUUACGACUCCAAAAGCACCCCCAUCCCAUUCAAAAGGCGAACAUGGAACAGCACAACCGAGCCAACACUAGGAGCCCAGGAACGCUAGUUUAUCUAAAGACGCGAGGCACAAACAGUACAGCAGAGAUUCUUAACAACUGGAGAUUCUAAGCUGUAUUUUCACCUUCAGUGUUUGUGUCUUGGUGAUGCCAGGGGUGUAUCUAGUACUGCUUUUCACAAUCUCAUAUCCCUAGCACGAUUCGUAAUUACUGAGUUUCACACUGCGUUGUCAGUAAACUCCUUGUCUUAUCUCCUUGGGUAACUAAAAUUCCAUUUAUUGCAAAAUUUUCAAUCUUUCUUCAGCCCAGCCCGCCUGCGGGCUAUAGCUCAGCCCUGGGGUGCCAGAAAGGUGGGUGGAGUGUGACAGCCUGCUGCCACCCGUCCACUGGAGAGCCCUUAUCCACAGAGUGCAAAUGCCCUGAAGGCCAUCUUUACGUGUCUUGAGUAUACAUUUUUAAAAUGUCGCAUCCAGCCGGGUGCCAUG
rnacentral:lncRNA from 10 species